UAUAACAAUUGACGUUGGGUCUUAGAAACAGUACCGGUUUCCAAGUUUCACAAACCUCCAUUUGCCAGUCAUUCUCUUUAUCUUUGUUUCCCCAGUACGUGACACUUCUUCCAGCAGAGAGAGACGGUGGAAAGCAAGGGGCCGGUCACGGUGGUUUCGUACCGUCAUUCUCACGCAUGAGCCGGUUCCAUUUCAUAGUCUAAUGGCAUGGAAGCCAGAGGUGGUGGUGGUUUGUGCAUCCGAGGGGCGGUAAUUGGGUCCAACGGCGUUACAGCUCACACGCUGGCGUCACUGGUACUCAACAUUGACGGCAACAUCUUUGAUGAAUUUGGUAGCGGUCGUUCAAGAUGUGGAUUAGGUUUUACGGUGGCCAUUGGUGGCGGCGAGCAGGUUUCGUGACGGUACAUGAGCGGAGAACCACGAGGGAUGUUAGAUCGGAGGUUUGCAUAGCUUCGCCAGUGAUGGCGAUCAAGCGCCUAUGGUUCCGAUCAAGUUCUGGCAACUUUCCGGUGUAGUUUCACACUUGGAUGUUGGCAAAGGGCUGUGACAAACUGCGGCAAAUAGUAAGGAUGCAAAUACACGAGGAUCUUGAUGUGAGGUGAGAUUGCUCUUAUUAAUGUUGCAAGGCAAGGGCAUAUCUCCAAUGCUAAUACCUCAUGAUGAUGGCAUUACUUCUUUGUUCUUAGUUGUAGUUGCAGGCUCACUCCAAUGCUUGGAGCUAUUAACAUAGGUACACCAAUAUCUCUACUAUUAGAAAGGGUUCUUUACUAACAAGAAUAUAAGCAAUCUGACUUUGAAUUUUUUUUUUUUUUUUUUUUUUUUUUGCUAUGAGUAUUUCUGUUUUGUUUAGGUUUUUUUUAUUACUUAUUAAUCUAUGAAGAAAGUGAAUGCAACUCGAUUUGUGAAAUUGCCAAGGCAAUUAUGUUAUCUGCAGCCUCAUUCAUUCGGAUCAUGUUUCAUCUCUAACGGGUCAAACGGAUGAUGUUUUAAAAAUAGCGUAAAGAAACCUUUUUAUGGGCCUUAUGGUACGACAUGUUGAAAGGCACUGAUAGUGUGUCUUUAAUAAUGGUAAAACUUGAUUAUUAUGAAGUAAUUAAGUUUUUUUAACAAUUUUUGGUGCAUUGAUUAUCUAUAGAACACUUAAAAACAUUAUAAGCCAACCCAAUCGACUGCACCCGCUUCAAACCUUACCAAAAUCAUCUACUCUAAUCAGAAACCAUCUUUGAACCUUCAUAAUAUUACUACAUAUUUAGAAAGUGUAGUGGUUGGAUGAUGUCAUUCUUGGAAUCCCAACAAUUUGGCAUAUAUUGGGCUUUGUCUUUUAUGGGUUCACCAGGUGUGUUGCCGAUCACGGCCCUAGACGUAGGUGUGUACGGGUUCAACUCACUGAAUAGAUGGAAUUCACAGCUCUAAAAUUGUUUAUGCAGGAAGGUGCAAAAGUUCAAUCACAAGGACUAAUACAACCAAGCUUUAGGCAGGUCAAUUGUUUGUAUUUUUAGCUCUUGCUUUUAUAUGUCUAUUUUUAUUAAUAAUUUAGAUAUAUAACCAAAAAGGAGAGUAAAGUGAUUUACAAUAUAAGUUUUAAUAGAUUUUCAUU